rnacentral:sRNA from 1 species
UUCUAUAACAUCCUGUGAACUGUUCGAUCUCUCGGAGAUUGACUUAUACAAACUCUAGUGUUGUAAUGAAUGUCUAGUUAUACCAUAACAAAUAUAACUUUCAACAACGGAUCUCUUGGCUCUCGCAUCGAUGAAGAACGCAGCGAAAUGCGAUAAGUAAUGUGAAUUGCAGAAUAGUGAAUCAUCGAAUCUUUGAACGCACCUUGCGCCCUACGGGGCAUGCCGGUUUGAGCGCCUUAACAUACUUGGGCUUGCAGCUUUUGUUGCAUGACCAGAUUUGAGCGUCUUGCUGCUAACCCAGCUCGCUGUGAAAGCAUUAGCGACUGAACGACAGUCAACAACGUGAUAAGUAUUUCGUUGCUGCCUGCCGUUGAGACGCUUCCAACCGUCCUCGGACAACAUACCAAAUGCUAGGCAUCAAA